UACGUAGGGGGCGAGCGUUGUCCGGAAUUAUUGGGCGUAAAGAGCGUGUAGGCGGUUCGGUAAGUCUGCCGUGAAAACCUGGGGCUCAACCCUGGGCGUGCGGUGGAUACUGCCGGGCUAGAGGAUGGUAGAGGCGAGUGGAAUUCCCGGUGUAGCGGUGAAAUGCGCAGAUAUCGGGAGGAACACCAGUAGCGAAGGCGGCUCGCUGGGCCAUUCCUGACGCUGAGGAACGAAAGCUAGGGGAGCAAACGGG
rnacentral:rRNA from 1 species